GAGUUGAUAUGGCUCAGAAUAACGCUGGCGGCGUGCCUCAGACAUGCAAGUCGAACGCGAAACCUUCCUUCGGGAGGGGAGUAGAGUGGCGCACGGGUGAGUAACACGUAGGUAAUUUGCCUUUGGGUGGGGAAUAACUCAGGGAAACUUGAGCUAAUACCGCAUAAUGCAGCGGCUCGACAUCGAGACAGUUGUUAAAGCGGGGGAUUUCGCAAGGAACCUCGCGCCUAAAGAGAAGCCUGCGGCAGAUUAGCUAGUUGGUAAGGUAAUGGCUUACCAAGGCGACGAUCUGUAACCGGCCUGAGAGGGCGGUCGGUCACACUGACACUGACAUACGGGUCAGACUCCUACGGGAGGCAGCAGUCGGGAAUUUUGGGCAAUGGGCGAAAGCCUGACCCAGCAACGCCGCGUGAAGGAUGAAAUUUUUCGGAAUGUAAACUUCGCAAGAACGGGAAGAAUAAGUAGAAGCUAAUACCUUCUAUGAUGACGGUACCGUUUGUAAGCUCCGGCUAACUCCGUGCCAGCAGCCGCGGUAAUACGGGGGGAGCAAGCGUUGUUCGGAUUUACUGGGCGUAAAGGGCGCGUAGGCGGUCGUGACAAGUCACUUGUGAAAUCUCCGGGCUUAACUCGGAACGGUCAAGUGAUACUGUCGGACUAGAGUACAGAAGGGGCAACUGGAAUUCUCGGUGUAGCGGUGAAAUGCGUAGAUAUCGAGAGGAACACUGCGGCGAAGCGGGUUGCUGGGCUGAUACUGA
rnacentral:rRNA from 1 species